rnacentral:rRNA from 1 species
UGGGGGAUAUUGCACAAUGGGCGAAAGCCUGAUGCAGCGACGCCGCGUGGGGGAUGAAGGCCUUCGGGUUGUAAACUUCUUUUGCUCUGAACAAGGCAUGCCUUUGGGGUGUGUUGAGUGUAGGGGUUGAUUAGCGCCGGCUAACUACGUGCCAGCAGCCGCGGUAAUACGUAGGGCGCGAGCGUUGUCCGGAAUUAUUGGGCGUAAAGGGCUUGUAGGUGGCUGGUUGCGUCUGUCGUGAAAGCUCAUGGCUUAACUGUGGGUUUGCGGUGGGUACUGGGUGGCUUGAGUGCAGUAGGGGAGGCUGGAAUUCCUGGUGUAGAGGUGGAAUGCGCAGGUAUCAGGAGGAAUACCGGUGGUGUAGGCGGGUCUCUGGGCUGUUACUGACGCUGAGGAGCGAAAGCGUGGGGAGCGAACAGG